UGAAGCAGCUACGUGCAGCGUUUAUCUAAUGAGGCGACAGUAUUCUUCUCCGGAGGGAGGGACAAUUUUCAGUUACAUACUACUGUAUAUGAAUUUCAUUAUUCUGAAAUGUUAAUCAUCAGGAGGCGGACCCAACCCCCUUUUCAAUCUGCGCAUGCGUAAUACCACAAGACAAGCUAUGCACACCGUUUCUUUUCGAGCAACUGGAAACAACAAACAUGAAGACAUUUAUCAUCUUUUUAAGCCUGUUGGUGAUUGCUGCUGCUCAGCGGCCCGAGACGCCGUGUUUAUAUGGGAAACCCGAGGGUUAUGGUCGGUGUCAUAUGUUCUUAUCAUGUGGUAAAAACGAAGAGUGCAUAGGAAACAUUUGCUGUAGAGUUAUUGGCAAACCUAUUGAAAAUCGAAGGCGAUAACAUCUGUUGCGAUAUGUCGUCUGUUAGAUACAGGUUUGAUGCAAAUGUCCAGAAAAAAGGAUGUUUCUAUUUGAGAAAAUAAAAAAGUUCUUCAAA